rnacentral:rRNA from 1 species
UACGGGGGGGGCAAGCGUUGUUCGGAAUUACUGGGCGUAAAGGGCUCGUAGGCGGCCAACUAAGUCGGAUGUGAAAUCCCCAGGCUUAACCUGGGAACUGCAUCCGAUACUGGAUGGCUUGAAUCCGGGAGAGGGAUGCAGAAUUCCAGGUGUAGCGGUGAAAUGCGUAGAUAUUGGGAAGAACACCGGUGGCGAAGGCGGCGACCUGGUCCUCGACUGACGCUGAGGCGCGAAAGCGUGGGGAGCAAACAGG